rnacentral:lncRNA from 1 species
UCAUUUCAAUGGGUAAUUGAGAGUUGACUCUUUCUGGGUGAGUCAUGAUGUGUAAUAUAGAUCAAAUCUUUCAAUAACAGUGGAGGAGGUUAUAGAAAUACUUGGAGGAUUCAGUAGAGUGAUUGCUGUGAGAAAUUACUUUGCUGGUUAUGCUAGGUAAAGGGCUACUGGCCACUGUCCUGAGAAGUCCUCACACAAUUCUUCCUCCCCCUCCCUCUCCCCCUCCCCCCCCUCACUCACACACACACACACACACACUCACCAGUUUGUAGAGUUCCCCAGGAGGCAUAAUCAAGGAUCUUCGGGGUAACUUCAACUGUUCAGGAUAAAACAGAAAGCGAAAAUGAGUGUGUGACCCUCACAUUCUCCUCCCGAAAGCAGUGUAGAAGCAGUCACUUGUGUCUGGCUGUGCUUUACUUCAGCGCUUUCCCUGUGUUACCUCCUUGUGUCCUCACAGCGGCACUGGAAGGUAGAAAGGGGAGCUUCUGCACUCGUCUGUGAUGAUAAUUUGAGAGACGAUAAGGUCAGUGACUCGCCUGAGGUCGCCUCAGCCACCACUUUCCCACAUGCAGCAGUGGCAGUGAGGGCAGGUGCCAGGCAGGAGACUUUAGAGAGUCGUGAGUUUCCCUUCUGUUCCUCCCAGUGCCCGUGGGGUGCCCCGGCUCAGCAAGAGGAGCCCUCUUUCCUUAUCGGAGUUGGCACCUGGCUUUGGGGACUGAGCAAGUACCCAGUUCUCUGUACUACAAGAGGAAGCGCCCAGAGCCUGGUAGUUUUCUUUUUGUCACAGUUACCUGUUGGGACUAGGUUUGACUUUUUAAAGAAUCAGCCCUCCCUGGAGGGUGCACUCCUCUGCGCUUAGGUCAUUAAUUAGCAGCUGGCUGUCAAGCCUACGGGAAGCACUGACAGCCUCCUAAAAGUUAAGAGGAAGGUCACAACACAGCCCUCAGAGUCGCUGUUAGGGCCAUGAGGUGAGCUGUGGGCCUGCGGAGAUCCUGGUCCCUUCUGCGGGCUGUGGCCUGGACAGGCCACAUACAAGUCUGUGUGUUUGAAUGUUACAGUGUGUGCAUGCUGCCAGUGUGUCCUGUGGAGCUAGGAGUGUGUUGUGUGCAUGCAUGUAGAGAGGCUCUGUUGCCGUGGCCUCUGUUCAUGGGGAAGUGCACUGUCAUUUCUCAGGCUGUGCCGUGAGGGCCGCCUUAACCCCUGCUCCCUUCCCUCCUAGAGCUGCCUUAAGUUCUCUGGAACUUUCCCUCUGCAAGAGGAUGUCUUGCCUGGAGAGGAUCUCUCGCCCUGUUUCUCAAGUAAACACGCUGCGACCUCAGGGAGCUGGAACUCGGGCCGGGAGCGUCUCAGAACACACCUGCCGGCUGCCUCCAG